CGCGUGUAGCGGUCGAUAGAGCUUCCGACCCAGGUUAUCUCGAUUUAGUUAUUACCCUCAUUAUUUCUGUGGAUACAUAUAGCUUAGACGGUUUACAUGGUUCAGUUUUGUUUUAUUAUCUGAUCAUCUGGAUUUUCAACUGGUUUUGGAAUGAGCUAAAAGAUUGGUGUUUUCUCGAAAUAAAACAGUUUUCUACCCCUCGUGGUAGCUGGUUUUGAAAAAGAAUGGUUCCCGUGUGGGGAAUAGUUUUCAAAUUGAUUUUUCUGUGGUUUUAUAGAUUUAGUAUUUCAAAAUCAGUUUCCAGGUAGGAAACAUUUUAACUGAUGGAUGUGGAAUGUUAUUCAUAACUCAAGUAUUAUAUCUGUGUGUGUGAAUGGAAUGGAUGAAUGUUAUCUGUCUUGUUGUUCAUCCGGUUGUGGUUGUGUGUGUAUCUAUACUCUGUUGUACUUGUGCGACGCCGUGCAAAUACAGGGGAGACUCUGUCCGUGUGAACAGUGGAUUUUCUAUAUUUGUGGCGGAUCUGGCACUCUGGGGUCAGGUUUUCAAAAAAAAAUUUAUAGCUAAUUUUUCCGCUGUGCUUUUGAACCUAAAAGGGACCCCGGGGCGUGACAAUAUAUAUAUAUAUAUAUAAUCCAGCUACUAUCCUAUUAAUAGGAUAGAGACCAUCGUCCUAUCAAAUCGUUCUUGAUGAUAGAGAUGCCGAAUCGAUGAUUCGAACCAUUGAAGUUAAUCCAGAGUAUUUGAAAUAUCUAGAAGCUAAAUUUCAGAAAUUUUAAAAAUCAUUUACAUGGUGAUCAAAGGAUCGUAAAAUCGACAAUUUUUUAGCCGUUUGCUUGUUUAACGGUGUAGAGCAAUCCAAACUACUUGAAUUUUUGAUAAAAAAGUUUUUAUACUAUUUAGAUAAUAUUUGAUAACUCUAUUCAUGAUUUGAGAAAGUCUAACCUCUAUUUUAAGAAGGUUAUUCAUUUAUGACCGUUCAUUUUUUCAACUCUUCGAUAGACUUGAUAAUGAUUUUCAAAAAUUACAAAAUUCAGUUUUUAAAUAUUUCUUAUAGUAUAGAUUAAUUUUAACGGUGCCGAUUAUCAAUUUGGAGUGUUGAUUAUUCAAAACGACUUGAUAGGAUAAUGGUCCCAAUACUAUUAAUAGGAUGGUAGCCGGACUAUAUAUAUAUAGAUAGUUGAGCUAGAAUACUCUCAAAAGCACCAAGGGGGUGGUGCUUUUGAGUUUUUAAUAAUUGGAUGGAGAGAUGUACGGUUGAGAUGAUGGUGGUAGGUGGUGGUAGGUGAAAUAGUGUUUGAUUCAAAAGCUAUUAGUAAUCAAAAGUAGAUCCAAGGGUUAAAAACUUAGAAGCACCAAAGGUUGGUGCUUCUAAAAGUAUUCUAACUCAAUUAUAUAUAUAUAUAUACUAGCUGAGUGUACGUGCAAAUGCACGUAAUAAUUAUUUUAAUUUAUUUAAAAUUAAUAUAAAUUUGUACAUUACAUUUAUUAAAAAAUUUAUAAUAUAUACUAUAUUUUUUUAAUUUAUAUUAAAUAUUUUAUAUUUUUUGAUUUAUGAUGAUCUAAAAUUUAAAUAUGUUUUUUAAUUUUGAUUUAUUAUAAUUAAAAUUUUUGGAUCUAACAGAUUAAUCAUAACUGUUCGUUCUUAUUUGAAAUUUUUUUAAUUAAAUGGACUGUUCAUUUUUAAUCGACAUAACUGUUCGUAGAAUUGAAUUUAUAAAUAAAUAAAAAUACUAUUUUGUAACAUAUUAAUUAUAAUCGUUCAUUUUUAUUUAAAAUUUUUUUAAUUAA
rnacentral:lncRNA from 1 species